ensembl:misc_RNA 7SK 7SK RNA
GGACAUAUGGGAGAUAUGGCUGUGGCUUCUGCCACUCAGUUGAUGACCAGAGUUGAUUUGGUUGGCUAGGCUGGUGCCCCCUUCCCUUCUCACUGCUUCAUGUGAGUCCUUCCAGAAGCUGCAGGCUCUAAGAAGGUUGAAGAGGACAACUCCCCUGAUGGAGGAGAUCUAUUCUUCCAUCAAGGGCAUAUGAGAGGUUGGGCUCCCCUGUUAGAACCUACAAAUAAUUUCUCAUGGUCCUCUAUUUCCUAAUAGCAUCAUAGACUUGUAAACAAACUUCGAUAUGUAGAACAUUGGAUCCAAACUGUAGUGUUGCUCAUC